CCAAUAGCGUAUAUUAAAGUUGUUGCAGUUAAAAAGCUCGUAGUUGAAUUUCGGGAUCAAAUUGUCGGUCGUGCCUCGGUACGUACUGGUAUUAUUGGUUCCUCCCUUCUGACGAACCACGAUGUCAUUAAUUUGGUGUCAUGGGAAAUCAGGACUGUUACUUUGAAAAAAUUGGAGUGUUUAAAGCCGGCUCGCGCUUGAAUACAUUAGCAUGGAAUAAUGAAAUAGGACGUUUGAUUCUAUUUUGUUGGUUUCUAGGAUCGACGUAAUGAUUAAUAGGGAUAGUUGGGGGCAUUAGUAUUCAAUUGUCAGAGGUGAAAUUCUUGGAUUUAUUGAAGACUAACUACUGCGAAAGCAUUUGCCAAGGAUGUUUUCAUUAAUCAAGAACGAAAGUUGGGGGAUCGAAGACGAUCAGAUACCGUCGUAGUCUUAACCAUAAACUAUGCCGACUAGGGAUCGGAUGAUGUUAAUUUUUUAAUGACUCAUUCGGCGCCUUACG
rnacentral:rRNA from 1 species